AUGGGCAUCGGCAAGUUCGUCAGCUCGAGCACAUUCAGCGUCAGCGGCUACGACUGGAACAUGAGGAUCUACCCUGACGGGUGGAAGGAGGAGGGCAAAGCUGCCUACAUGGCCGUCAGCUUGGGUUUCUGUAGUAAGCCAACAACCGGUGGUGUCAAGGUGAAGUUCACUCUCAGCUUACUAGAGAAAGAUGCAAAGGUCAAUUGUACAUGGAGCGCGGCAUAUACCUUCCAGUCGGUAGGUAAAUACUGUGGGUCUGUGGCUGGGACAAGUUCAUUCACAAGUCCAAGCUGA
rnacentral:rRNA from 1 species